GUCAUGAUGGCUGAGUGUUUAAGUGGCGGGUUGUAGCCCCGAGGACAGAGGUUUAAAUCCUCUUCAUGUCAU
rnacentral:tRNA from 1 species